rnacentral:lncRNA from 1 species
UCUCCAUGGCCAUUUAUUUUUGAAAUUAUUUUUUUAGGUGAUCAAUGUUCAAAUAUCGUCAUGUUAGAACAGGUGGAACCUUCUAGCUCUUAAAUGAUCUUUAUGAGAUGAAUAUAGGUUAUUAAUAUACUUGUAAUUGACAGGAGUGCACCGUUGGGUUUCCUGACAAGUUGCUUAAUGCCAUCCAGUUCUCUGGAAGUUUCUCAAACUUUUAAAGGAUGAAGAAAACUUGAUGCGCAUAGAGAUCAUUCAACAACUUGCAGGUCAUCUUCCACCUCUUUAAAGAAGAUGAAAUCGGUAUUGUAAUUAACAUAUUGUAACUAUUUUAAAUAGUUAUGAGAAUCGUCAAAAGUUAAUAGAAAGUAGAUAUGUGGGAAUUCAGCGGAGGAGGAUUCACCGCGGAAAAAACUUUCCAGGAAUCAGCAAAAUCAUACUUCUAUUUUUUGAAAGUCUAAGUUAACUACAUUCGAGGGUCUUUUGAAAUUAUUUUAAUAUCAUGUUUCAAUAUUUUUUCACAUAAUUCAACCAUGGAUAUAUUGGAUUUCUUGAAACCUAAUGGAAAUACCCCCUUACCAUCUUUCUAUCCUCUUGUAGAGAAUACUCAUAUAAUAUAAGGAAAAAUUGAAAUAAAACUUUGUUUUAAUUUUUAA